rnacentral:rRNA from 1 species
UACGUAGGCAGCGAGCGUUUGUUCGGAGUUACUGGGCGUAAAGGGUGUGUAGGCGGUUGUUUAAGUUUGGUGUGAAAUCUCCCGGCUCAACUGGGAGGGUGCGCCGAAUACUGAAUGACUUGGAGUGCGGGAGAGGAAAGUGGAAUUCCUGGUGUAGCGGUGAAAUGCGUAGAUAUCAGGAGGAACACCGGUGGUGUAGACGGCUUUCUGGACCGUAACUGACGCUGAGGAGCGAAAGCAUGGGUAGCGAACAGG